rnacentral:rRNA from 1 species
UGCCAGCCGCCGCGGUAAUACGAAGGGGGUUAGCGUUGUUCGGAAUUACUGGGCGUAAAGCGUACGUAGGCGGAUUAUUAAGUGAGGGGUGAAAUCCCAGGGCUCAACCCUGGAACUGCCUCUCAUACUGGUAGUCUUGAGGUCGAGAGAGGUGAGUGGAAUUCCGAAUGUAGAGGUGAAGUUCGUAGAUAUUCGGAGGAACACCAGUGGCGAAGGCGGCUUUCUGGACCGAUACUGACGCUGAGACGCGAAAGCGUGGGGAGCAAACAGGAUUAGAUA